UACGUAGGGGGGCAAGCGUUGUCCGGAAUCAUUGGGCGUAAAGCGCGCGUAGGCGGCCCGGUAAGUCCGUUGUGAAAGUCAAAGGCUCAACCUUUGAACGCCGAUGGAUACUGCCGGGCUAGAGUCCGGAAGAGGCGACUGGAAUUCAUGGUGUAGCAGUGAAAUGCGUAGAGAUCAUGAGGAAGACCAGUGGCGAAAGGCGGGUCUCUGGACAGUUCCUGACACUGAGCACGAAGGCCAGGGGAGCAAACGGGA
rnacentral:rRNA from 1 species